rnacentral:lncRNA from 7 species
ACAGUUGAAGAGGACACUGCGUUUGGAGGAGAAAGUGCCUCUGCCUCCAGAUCUCAUCAUCUCUCCCACACUUCCCAUUGGAGGACAUAUGGGUACGGAGCACCCAAAGGGUCCCUGGUCUACGCUCCAACCCCCGCAGCACAGGGAACUGCUGCUCCUGCUUUGUGCUCAUCCAACACAGAAGGCCAAGGCAGCAACAGCCACAACGGCUGCCAGAGUAAGGGGGUAACGACAACAGAAUGCUUGUGAGCUAUCCACAUCCAUAUUGAAAUACAGAAUUCUCUACCAGUCUACUUAAGAGUAACAACACAUCAUGGCUUCAAAGCACAGUACAGAUAGAAACUAACGUAACAGCCAUGUGAGGAAGUUUGGAGAACACGCAGAGCUGAGAUCAUACCACGGAGCAAGAAAAUCCCUGCAAUUGUCCCAUUUCCUAAAGAUUGCCAUUGCAAAGCUAUGAAAGAACAAAGCGCCUCUCUGCUUUGCAUAAAUAACCAAACCUGCAGGAGCCCAAUUAUAAAAGGCUGUACUUUAAAAGCACUCACAAGUCCACGUAAAUGAAUGUGCCGAUGCCAAAAAUAUUUUGCUCAGGGUUAAACUGAGAAAAUACAUAUUCCUAAGUCAUUUUUGCUCAGUGAGUGACUGCAGUACUUUGUUUUAUGCCCAGGCCUGAACAGAAAUCUGACUUGAAGAGACAUUAGCAUACAAAUGGGAUAGGAACUUUCAGAGCUUGGGCAACUGUUACUCCAUUACAGACAGCUCAAAUCAAUUCUGUUAAAAAUCAGAGAAAAAAAUACCUGUGCUUCAGUUUAAAAUCUGGGUGCUCUUACACCUCAGAGACAUCCAUGGCAUUUGAAGCUGGUAGAAAUUCAGCCUGUUGAAACGAGGGAACACAGCAGCCACCAUGACCCGGCUCGUGUUCUCUGCCACGGCUGCUUUCCUUUCCUCCUCUCCUGCCCUGCCCCAAAAAAGGGUUGGAGAAGAGACCAAGUUUUCCUCUUAAGAUUAUAUAAUUCAGCUUUCAGAUCUAUUAAGCAUGAAAUGAGUGGUGUCUGUCCUGCAGAGCGGGUAAAACCUCCCCACUGCAAUGACAUGAAUUCCAGGUACUCCAGUAACUGACCAAAGGAAAACAAUUAACAGCCAGCCAGAGACCUUUCUCUGGAUGAUUUCAACAAUAAUGAGAAAUCCAAGCACCUACAGUGAGUAGCCAAAUACUGAAUUCAUUCUAGUUAGUUCCAACUACCCAAUGAUAUGUAUGGGUUUUCAGUAGGCAGCUUUCCCCAAAGCUUUCUCCAAGCUCCAUGGAUCUCACAAAAGCAAAGACUCACUGUUGAACCCGACUUCCUUUAAAAGUAGGAAACCCAAAGUGAUGGGUUCCACCUGACAAAGCAGAGCCACGUUAUUCAGAACUGUCAGAGUUGCAGUGAGCAUUCUGCUUAUCUCCAGACUGAAGUGACAAGAUGAAAAUGGACACUAAAUAACUAAUGACUUACAUAUUUUAUUAAACAUCACAAGUUUACAUUUUCAUACAGACAAAAUCAUUAACAGUGAAAAGUACAAAGCCUACAGAACAAAAGAACUCUUGUAAGCAAGCAGUUUGCAAUAGAAGAUUACAUGUUUUCAGUGAUUCACAGCGUGAUUUGCCUGGAAAACACACAGGGUUGGCUAGGCUGCAUACAGGUUGUCAUGCACUUCUGCUUCAGUUUAAUUAUAUCUGCAACAGACCCUCUGCACAAGCAAUCAAAUCCUGAAAGCUCUGCUGUAAAAGGCUAAAGUAAACCCCUCACGUGCACUCUGCUGUACGAGCUGCCUGAGGCUGAGCCAGUACGGAAACAGGAAGAGGAGCCAGCUCUUUAUCUGUCACUUUCUGGUGCAGCUACAGAAAGCUGGCACCCCCUCAGCUCCUCUGCACACACAGCCACUUACUGCUCACUUCAGACUCUGGCGGAUUUGCCUGAACAAAUACGUGUGUGUGUACUUGUGGUAUGUGGAGAACUCACCGCCACCCUCAACUUCACUCCUUCCCAAGUAGAAAAAGUAAGACUGAGUGCUUCCAAUAGCCUGUAUCACCGUGCAGAAACAGCACAGUGUUCUGCAGCAGCUAGAAGCUUCUGGCUGACUCCAGCACCAAGGACACCGUGCUUCUCUAAUACAGCCCUGGUUGAAAGAAGUGGGGACGUACAUACCUAUUUACUGGGUUACACUGGGAUUUUCAGACACACAGAAACAGGGUUACGAUACGUGUGCAAGAACUUCACGCCAGUACAGAAACGAGAACACUCCCAGUCCCUCCAUCUAAAUCAAACUCUUUGCACAGAGCAACGACAGGCUUGCCAGUGUCCUACCUACAACCACCUUAACCCC